UGGGGAAUAUUGCACAAUGGGCGCAAGCCUGAUGCAGCCAUGCCGCGUGUAUGAAGAAGGCCUUCGGGUUGUAAAGUACUUUCAGCGGGGAGGAAGGGAGUAAAGUUAAUACCUUUGCUCAUUGACGUUACCCGCAGAAGAAGCACCGGCUAACUCCGUGCCAGCAGCCGCGGUAAUACGGAGGGUGCAAGCGUUAAUCAGAAUUACUGGGCGUAAAGCGCACGCAGGCGGUUUGUUAAGUCAGAUGUGAAAUCCUCGGGCUCAACCUGGGAACUGCAUCUGAUACUGGCAAGCUUGAGUCUCGUAGAGGGGGGUAGAAUUCCAGGUGUAGCGGUGAAAUGCGUAGAGAUCUGGAGGAAUACCGGUGGCGAAGGCGGCCCCCUGGACGAAGACUGACGCUCAGGUGCGAAAGCGUGGGGAGCAAACAGG
rnacentral:rRNA from 1 species